rnacentral:rRNA from 1 species
AACGAACGCUGGCGGCAGGCCUAACACAUGCAAGUCGAACGAGGGCUUCGGCCCUAGUGGCGCACGGGUGAGUAACACGUGGGAACCUGCCUUUCGGUUCGGGAUAACGUCUGGAAACGGACGCUAACACCGGAUACGUCCCCCAGAGAGAUUUGGGCGGAGAAAGUUUACGCCGGGAGAGGGGCCCGCGUCCGAUUAGGUAGUUGGUGGGGUAAUGGCCCACCAAGCCGACGAUCGGUAGCUGGGCUGCGAGGAUGAGCAGCCACACUGGGACUGAGACACGGCCCAGACUCCUACGGGAGGCAGCAGUGGGGAAUAUUGGACAAUGGGGGCAACCCUGAUCCAGCAAUGCCGCGUGAGUGAUGAAGGCCUUAGGGUUGUAAAGCUCUUUCGCACGCGACGAUGAUGACGGUAGCGUGAGAAGAAGCCCCGGCUAACUUCGUGCCAGCAGCCGCCGUAAGAC